AGUAUACCAGUGUGCUGUGAGUCCCACAGGAGACAGGCUGUACAUCACCAGCAGGUACCAGGACAAGCUUCUCACCCUGGCCAGGGAUGGCACACUCCUGGCUACAUACUCAGACCCAGCACUACGUGUCCUAUCUGGUCUACAUGUGACCCCUGCAGGCCAGGUGCUGGUCUGUGGAUUGGGGUCCAACACUGUACUACAGGUGGGCUGGGAGGGGCAGAGUAAGCUGGCUAAUCUUGCUACUCAGAAGGAUGGAGUGUGGGGGCCACGGUCAGUCUGCUACAGCAGCACAACAUCCUACAUCAUUGUGGGACAGGACUGGAGCGACAACAUCCUGGUGUUCAGAGUGGAAUAGUGUGUACAUUGGCUGCUGAGUCAGGACAACGAUGCUGAGGAUGUGGUGGACAAGAAUAAACUGAAUACUCAGAAGGAGAGCACUAGCAUUGGUAUCGAGUUGGCCCAGCAUCAGUACCAGUCCAGCAUGCAGGAGAUCCAGUCAAGGACGACCCUUCCCCUCCCCUGACCACUAACUCCUCACUUUUGACCUGCAGCCUCAAAGGAUCAGCAUAGUUGAACAAUUCUGUUCUGCAGGAAAUUCUCAGCACGUCAAGUUUUCACGGGCUGUUCUCAACAACCGCAAUGUCCUGGUCAAGUUUUCCACACUCAAGCCUGAGUAGUUUUGUUAAAUAUAAGCAGUAGAAAUGGUAAAUCUAACAGCCAGUGUGCUUGCUCUGGGACAUCACAAAGAAUAUCACAGAAUACAAAGUUGAAUAAUUCUUGUUCCAUUCAUUAUGGGACCAACAGAAAUUCAGCAAGAAACAGGGCAAAAAAUCAAGGAACAAUUGAAGCGAUUAAUUUAGAAGUGUAGGUUUUCCAAAGUAGAUACUUCUGCUGAUGAUAGUUUUGACAGUAAUAGCGUUAUGGACGUCUCGGUUUGUCCUCUCAGGCGUGUAAACUGUCCAAAGAGAACACGCUUCUGACGCUUUUGCUGACGAAGAAAGGCAGUAAUGACUUGGCUGUGAACACCCAGAGCACAAUACAUCCUUGGGGCAUGCCUCAGACGCAAAUUCCGCUCAAGAUUAUAAACAAGGCGCAAAAUGUGAAUAUGUCUAGCUUUGUUACGAGCACUUCCCACUCCGAGCCCAUAGGCCUCGUAUUGAAUCGAGGCUGAGAAGGCAUUGACAAAUGACAGCAGUUGUGUUGUGUGGUCCAGUAUGCCCAUCGACUCUCAACCCAACGUUAAUCAGAACUCAAACUCGGCCCUUAGCAAUAUCAGCUCAGCUCCUUGAGCCUCAGGACUUGAUGCAAUCCUUGAUUGGUACCCAGCUUAACAACAGGCUCUUUGGUCAGCUGGUCCCAGACGCCCAGAGACACUUCCUGUGCAUCGGGGGUAGUUGGCUCUUGGCGCAGUACCUCGGGACAAAUGCUCAACGAAUCCUUCCCGCAGGGUGCAGCCAGUCUAAACCUGGGGAUUCAAACUUUCCUGCCUAAGGGCCGAGAUUAUCUCAUCCACAAGGAGAGCACCAGCAUUGAUAUUGUGUUGGCCCAACAACAGCACCAGUCUUGCAUGCAUGAGCCCCAGUCCAGGACAACCCUUCCCCUACCCUGAUCCAUAUCUCCUCCCCCAAGACCUUCAGCCUCAAAUUCUUAACACAUCCAGUUUUCUUGCACUGUUCUCAUCAACCGCAAUGUCCACGUCAAGUUAUCCACUGUCGAGCCUGAGUAGUUUUGUUUAGCUUGAGUGUCCGAGUGGGAAGAGUGUUAUAGACACAAGGAGUUAUAUCAGUAGUUAUGGUAAUGCUCAAUCAACAGUCAGUUCUUGCUGUUGGACAUCACUGCGAAUAUCACGAGGAAUAAGAAGUUGAAUAACUUGUUCCAUUCAUUAUGGGACAAACACAAAUUUAGCGAGGAACAGGGCAAAAAAAUCAAGGGACAAUUGAAGUGAUUAAUGCAAAAGUGUAGGCUUUCCAAAGUAGAUACUUGUGCUGUUGAUAGCUAGGACAGUAGUAGCGUUACGGACCGUCUUGGUUUGUCCUCUCAGGCAUCUAAAGGGAACAUGAAGCUUUUGACGCUGUUGCUGAUGAAGAAAGGCAGUAAUGACUUGGCUGUGAACACCCAGAGCACAAUACAUCAAUGGGGCAUGCCUUGGACGCAAAUUGCGCCCAAUAUUGUAAACAAGGUGCAAAAUGUGAACAUGUCUAGCUUUGUUACCAGCACUUGGCACUCCGAGCCUAAAGGGUCUAGUAUUGAAUCAAGGAUAGAGAUGGCUUUGAAAAAUGACAGCAGUUGUGUUCUGUGGUCCAGUACACACUUCGCCUCUCAAUCGAGUUAGUCAGAACUCAAACUCUGGCCUUAUUAAUAUCAGCAAGUCGCUGCUGAGUCAGGACAAGGAUGCUGAGGAUGUGGGGGACAAGGAUAACCUGAAUACACAGAAGGAGAGCCCCGGUUUUGAUAUAGAGUUGGUACGGCAACAGCACCAGUCGGGCCCGCACAAGCCUCAAGUCAAGCACGACCCCUCCCCUGACCCCUAGCUUCUCCCAUUUGACUUCCAGCUUCAAAGGGUCAGCAUCGUUGAACAAAUUCCUCCUAUAAAAAAUUUUGAGCACAAAGAGUUUUCACACAUGGUUCUCAUCAACCACAAUUUUCGUGUCGAGUGAUCCUUACUUGAGCCUGUUUGGUUUGUUAGACCCGAGUGCCAGAGAUGGGACAACCGUUACAGACACAAGGACUUAUUGCAGCAGUUAUGGCAACAUGUACAGUCAGUUCUCAAUGUUGGACUUCACAACUAAUAGCACAAUAAAUACAAAGUUGGAUAACUCGUUCCAUUCUUUUUGGGACAAACAAUACAACGGAAAGUAACAAGAGAAAAUCAAGGAAUAUUUGUAGAGUUUUAGUCGGAAGCGUAUGCUUACCACUGGCAUACUCCUGGACAGUCGUAACUUUACGGACAGUCCCGGUUUGUCCUCACAGGUGUCCAAACUGUCCAAAGAGAACGCACUUUUGAGGCAGUUGCUAACUUAGAAAGGCAGCACCGACUUUGUUGUGAACACUCAAGAGCAUCCAUGGUCAUGCCUCAGGCGGGAAGUUCGACCAACAGCUGAAACAAGAUGCUAAAGGUGAACCCAUCAGGGUUUGUAACUUCCCACUCCAAUCCUAAACAGCCUGGCAUUGAGUCGGCGCUUGAGAAGGCGUUGAAAAAUGACAGCAGUUUUGUUGUGUGGUCCAGUAUGCCCUUUGGCUCUCAACCUGAUGUUAGGUAGAACUCAAACUGGGCCCUUAGCAAUAUCAGCGAGGCUAGAAUGUCAUCUCUUCAUCUUGAGCUUCAGAAAACAUUAUAAGCAAACAAGACAAACAUCAUGAAUGUUUAGGCAAUCCCAAUCCACUUAUACUACAACUCGCUCAGGAAAUUCAGCACGCCACCUUUUAACAUCUUCUCACAAGGCUUUAAAUCAACACUUCCAACAGCUGAGCCUUGAUUUUCCAGUUCCUGCAGGACCCCAUACAAUCACACAUCUUUACACAGCUGAACAACAACAGGCCCUCUGGUCAGUUGGGCUCCCACAUCCAUGGACAAUGCCUUGGUAAAGGCGUCAAGCUCUUGGGUCAGGAAUUUUGGGCAAAGCUCCUACCCCCAGGGUACAGCCAGUCUAACCAUGGGACUCCAAACUUCACUGCUUAGAGGCCAAGACCACCUCAUCUACAAGGGGCCUUUCCCUCACAAGUUCAGGCCCAGAGAACCAUGCUACCCAACUCAAGCUCAGGCACUACAUCUCAACAGGUCCUCAGUCUCUCUUGCAACAACAAAAGCUGAAGUUGAAGUGUGAAAGAGAGAAAGAGUUGACAUGAAAUUGCUGCUUCAGCCUUAAUUGGAACAUCAGCAUCACAAGCAACAACACUUAAAAUUCAGCAAUCAACAGUUCGAUUGACGAAGGCUUUCAAAUGAAAACAUGUCAAUUAACAAAGCACCCUUCCCUGAAAAGCUGGCCAAGCUAAUAAACAAUGUGAAUGCAUCAACGUGACCCUUCAGAGAAACAGGAUUCCAGGCCGAAUGUCAAACUGUCUGGGCUCCAGCAGCAGCCUCAGCCGUGGGGGUCAGGUUCAUGAUGCACCUAUGCUCUCAAUGCUUUCUGAACAUCUUAAUCUCACAGCACCAGUGGAUCAACAUGACCUUCAAGUUGGGGAUGGUUGAGGGUCUCCCAAAACCACCCAGUGCCUUGCGAUGAAAACCUCCAACGGGACUGUGACCUUGCCCUUGGACUCACCUAAUGGUCAGGUUCAAGGUCACAUGGGCUUAGAUAGUCACUGCAGUAAAAAAGUGUAUGGUUUUAAAGUAAAGAAGAUGACUUCACAACAUGACAUCCGAGACUGCAGGGACGAAAUGACAAAGGAAGCCAAGACACAAUACGAAAAUUUCCAGUGGCUUACCUGCUUAAAACCUGGGAAGCAAAGCAAUGAGUAUGUCCCAGGAGCAUUUGCAGUCACAGCAAGUGAACCAGCGGCAGUCAUCGUCUCCAGAUUCUGAGAUCCCCAUGCUGCACAACCCUUAGUCUAUGAAAAUCAUGCAGAGCGAACUUUGGACAUUGACGAAAUCAACCCGGCAAAUCAGAAGGACAGUCUGUUGCUACAGUUAUCAUAUUAACCCCAGUCAUACCAAAGAAGCUCAGAGAUAUAAAUGCUGUUUAAGAUGUGCUAGUCUCCACAUACUCCAUGUCUGGUGUGAACAUGUACAAUUGAAGGUCUCUACAUACUCCAUGUCUGUUGUGAACAUGUACAAUUGAAGGUCUCUACAUACUCCAUGUCUGGUGUGAACAUGUACAAUUGAAUGUCUCUGCAUACCCCAUGUCAGGUGUGAACAUGUACAAUUGAAGGUCUCUACAUACCCCAUGUCUGAUGUGAACAUGUACAAUUGAAGGUCUCUUCAUACCCCAUGUCUGGUGUGAACAUAUACAAUUGAAGGUCUCUACAUACCCCUUGUCUGGUGUGAACAUGUACAACUGAAGAUCUCUACAUACCCCAUGUCUGGUGUGAACAUGUACAAUUGAAGGUCUCUACAUACUCCAUGUCUGGUGUGAACAUGUACAAUUGAAUGUCUCUACAUACUCCAUGUCUGGUGUGAACAUGUACAAUUGAAGGUCUCUACAUACCCCAUGUCUGGUGUGAACAUGUACAAUUGAAGGUCUCUACAUACUCCAUGUCUGGUGUGAACAUGUACAAUUGAAUGUCUCUACAUACCCCAUGUCUGGUGUGAACAUGUACAAUUGAAGGUCUCUACAUACUCCAUGUCUGGUGUGAACAUGUACAAUUGAAGGUCUCUACAUACCCCAUGUCUGGUGUGAACAUGUACAAUUGAAGGUCUCUACAUACUCCAUGUCUGGUGUGAACAUGUACAAUUGAAUACCUCUACAUACUCCAUGUCUGGUGUGAACAUGUACAAUUGAAGGUCUCUACAUACUCCAUGUCUGGUGUGAACAUGUACAAUUGAAGGUCUCUACAUACUCCAUGUCUGGUGUGAACAUGUGCAAUUGAAGGUCUCAUCUUUGAAAUUGGGACAGGUGGAAAAUUGAUGCAUUGAUGCAGACAGAAGUCGCAUAAUGACAAAUCACAACAAAAAGUGGAAAUCCAGACAGUCUUGUAGCCAGCCAUGUUUUUAUGAGACCAUCCAAGUUGUGUUAAAAGAAAACAAUAGUUCAUGUUUUAUUGGAACUAUGAUGCUGAUAGUCAUUUUAUGUAAAAGGCUUUUAUGAACUAUAUUUAAAUACUCAGUAUAAUAAGAUUAAGAUUUCUUGAUAAAAGCAAUAAUGAGCAAUAUCAUUUUAAGAGCAAAAUUAGCAAGUCUAUCCAAUUACAUUGUCUGUAUUAUGAAAUUUUAUUUUGGAAAUAUUAAGGAAAAUAUAUAUAUAUGUCUAUGAAUAUUGAUUUUAACAUUUGUCAAAGCUGUUUAAAUGAUGCUGGUAACUUUGACAAAAUUGAAAGAAAAUGUAUUCUUUUCAUGUAAUGAGACAUGCUUCAGGUUUUUUUUGGCUUAACAUGUAAUAUAGUGGUGGUAGUUACUCACAUUGUUUAGACAGGUGGAUAAUUUUAAUGCUAAGGCUUUGAUACUCUUAAGUGUGCCCAUUGGUGUCCGGUGUUUUUGUCAAGCAUUUUGUUUAUUAUCUUAGUAUUUCAAGACAAUAUUGAUUAAUAUUAGACAAAAUCAUUUAAUCUUCCUUAAAUUGUCUAAUCUGUAUUUACUACCAGUUAUUUAUUAAUUUGCUUGAACAUGAUUUAAGAAUGAUUUUUUUGUUGCUUAAAAUGCUUUAUAUGUUUUAAAACUGAGCAUUUAAAAACGAAAAUAUAGGAUGUGGGAAGUUAUGAUAAUUAAUUUUUAUUUUUGUAAAGUUAAUUAUGCCUUAUAUGUUUGUGUAUAGGCAUUUAGACGACCAGAUUAACCUGACCAAGAAUUCUUGAUCAAUGUGUAUAUCGGUCAGUACAUUUGUCAUUUGUAUAUAGAGCGAUUGCGAAAUGAUUGUAUUGUUAAUGAAAAUUAUGCGUUUAUUGUUGCCAUUUUGAUUUUCGCUGUUAACAUGUAUUUGUACAAACAAUUUUCAUCAGGUACAUCUUUUAGAUGCCAGAUAAUAAAAACAAACAUUGCUUGUGGAGAUGCUCAUUUAAAACUUUCUUAAUGAUACAGAACAACACAUUCUGAAGAGGCAAAUAUCCUUUAGACAAUAGGAACAUCUUGUUACUAGUAUAUGUAAUGCUUUUUAUUAAAUUAAGUCAAGCAACUAUUGAAAGAUUGGUAUAACUUUGUUUUGCAUUAUCUUAAGAAAAAUUAAUAUAUUCUUCUUGGAAAUCAGUCAAUUGCAAAUCAAGCGAGAGUGAUUUAACAUGCUAACACUUGUCAAUAAUUGAAUUGUCUCUCUUUGUACAUAAAUAUAGGGAUGUUGUUGCUUGAAAAACAAAGUUGUAUCCGUUGUUAGAUAAUGCUUUUGUUCAUCUCUCAACAUAACAAGUACAUUCAUUUGUUCAUCUCUCAACAUAACAAGUACAUUCAUACAGUUAUUAAAAAUAUGACACUCUUAAUUCUCAGCCAUCAGUUUGUAUUGGGAUGUUGUGGAAUACUUACUAAACUAAUAUACGUCUGUUUAAUGAAUGAAUAGCUUUGGUACAAUAUGAUACUCAGUGUUACAAAACAUGUGUAAUAAAAAUAUAAUGUCAUUUAUUUGAAAUCAUAAAAUUUAGUUGUCCAUACAAUGCUUACAGUUUUUGCAAUUGCGAUGAUAAAGGAAAUGUUCUGCUCAAAAUGUCUUUUUAAGACAUGCGAAAAUUGUAGCAAUCAUAUUGUACUUGUAUUUAUAUUAUACAUUAUAAGAAUUUACUUACAGCUGAUGAUAGCGGCAGUUUACUAUUUGUGUUACAGUUUGUUCCACUCGACCAUCAGACCAUAUUUCCUUAAAAAUGUGAUUGUUAAUAUUGAACUGUAAUUGAAUGCAUGAAACAUGAUUGUUCUGUUGCGUAACAGCUGAAAAUAGCUUGAUGUUUGUAAAACUGUAUGAAAUGUUUCAAAUAAAUCAUUUUAAUUACAUAAAAAAAUAAAAUUACAUUUUGCGUUACUUUGAAUGCAUAACAAACAAUUGUUACCAUACAAUCAUACGGUAUUAGUAUUGAACUUAAUUAAUACUUUAACUUUAAGAUGCAAUUUUUACAAUAAUGUGUUAAUAUUUUCAUCCAUUCCAAAUAAGCAUUGUGCAUUCGUAAAUAUAGGGUUUACAUACACUGCUUAGAUGCCUUUUUUAAAUUGCUUGUGUACGUUAUAUUGAUAAAAGACUCUUAUGUAUUGCAUAUUUGUGUGUGCCAAUGUCUUACUUAUUUCUUCACAGUCCUUAAAUUACUGCAAAUAGUACUUUAAGAAUGUUAAAAUAUUUAUCUUAACCCUUUCAGUGCGGGAACCUAAUUUUGAAGGCCUUUGCAAACAGUUUGGAUCCAGAUGAGACGCCACAGAACGUGGCGUCUCAUCAGGAUCCAAACUGUUUGCUAUUCUGAUAGUAUUCUUAGAAAAAAAUCGAAGAAAAUGCUAAUUUUAGAAAUUCAGCAGACGACAUUUUAGCAGACGACAAAAUUCCCAGCAUGCAAAGGGUUAACUAUAACCAGGUUAUCUGUUAAUUUAAGUUUCAUACAUAAUAUUUAGUGCUAAUAAAUCAGCACUAUUGAUUGAUUUUUUAUAUGGGCACUUCCCAUGACUUUAUUCGUGAAUAUUUCUUUGAAUGUGCGGUAGGGAAAACAUUGGUUGCUUGAAGGUUAGAAACUUAAUGUUGACAUCUUGAAAGAUGGCAGUAAACAUUUAACUGCAGAGUAGCUGGGAAAAAGAUUGCUGUUAAACAAUGUUAGACAGAACUCCACGCAAGAUAUGUCAUGCAUGCGAUAUGCAUGAACUAUCUUUUUAAAAUAAUUUGGAUCUGAAUUAUCUUUAAGAAAUGGUAUGGUUAUGAGGGUCUCUAUGUGCAAAAUGUUGCAUUUAUUUAGUGUACAAGUUAUUGCUUAAACAUUGAAUUUGUUGUGGAAAUAAUAUAGUUUAUGUGACUUAAAGAGAUAUACAUGUUUAUGUUAGUGAUGUGUUUUUGCUGAUCCAAGUCUGUUCCUACACACUAUUUAAAGUAGAUAACUACAAGUUAUCUCAUUUAAAUGGGAAAAGUAUUGUACUGUGAAAAAGUGUUGUGAGUUCAAAUAAAAAUACUAUGAACCGU